CCUACGGGUGGCAGCAGUGGGGAAUAUUGGGCAAUGGGCGCAAGCCUGACCCAGCAACGCCGCGUGAAGGAAGAAGGCUUUCGGGUUUUAAACUUCUUUUCUCAGGGACGAAGCAAGUGACGGUACCUGAGGAAUAAGCCACGGCUAACUACGUGCCAGACGCCGCGGUAAUACGUAGGUUGCAAGCGUUAUCCGGAUUUACUGGGUGUAAAGGGCGUGUAGGCGGGGACGCAAGUCAGAUGUGAAAACCACGGGCUCAACCUGUGGCCUGCAUUUGAAACUGUGUUUCUUGAGUACUGGAGCGGCAGACGGAAUGCCUAGUGUAGCGGUGAAAUGCGUAGAUAUUAGGAGGAACACCAGUUGCGAAGGCGGUCUGCUGGACAGCAACUGACGCUGAGGCGCGAAAGCGUGGGGAGCAAACAGGAUUAGAUACCCGUGUAGUC
rnacentral:rRNA from 1 species